ACGGUUUAUGACCUUAUCAACAAUGGUGCUUGGGACGUUAGUAAACUAAGCUAUAUGCUUCCGUAUACUAUAACGAGUACAAUUUAUGCUACCAUUAUCCCAGAAUCUACAGUCUUGGCGGAUAAACUCCAAUGCGCCUUGGUCACAAAUGGUAAGUUUUUAACUUCCAGAGCCUACCAUUUCCUUCUUAGUAAGCUACCCGAAGUAUCAUCAACCUGUAGAUAAGUUUAAAUGGAUUUGGAAGCUAGAAUGUCCGAACAAAUUAAGAUUCUUCAUUUGGAUAGUAUACCAUAAUAGGCUUCCUACUG
rnacentral:lncRNA from 1 species